rnacentral:rRNA from 1 species
AGAGUUUGAUCAUGGCUCAGAUUGAACGCUGGCGGCAGGCUUAACACAUGCAAGUCGAACGGUAACAGAAGAUAGCUUGCUAUUUUGCUGACGAGUGGCGGACGGGUGAGUAAUGCUUGGGAACAUGCCAAAACGUGGGGGACAACAGUUGGAAACGACUGCUAAUACCGCAUAAUAUCUUCGGAUCAAAGCAGGGGACCUUCGGGCCUUGCGCGUUUUGAGUGGCCCAAGUGGGAUUAGCUAGUUGGUAAGGUAAUGGCUUACCAAGGCGACGAUCCCUAGCUGGUCUUAGAGGAUGACCAGCCACACUGGAACUGAGACACGGUCCAGACUCCUACGGGAGGCAGCAGUGGGGAAUAUUGCACAAUGGAGGAAACUCUGAUGCAGCCAUGCCGCGUGUGUGAAGAAGGCUUUCGGGUUGUAAAGCACUUUCAGUGGGGAGGAAAGGGUGUAUGUUAAUAGCAUGCAUCUGUGACGUUACCCACAGAAGAAGCACCGGCUAACUCCGUGCCAGCAGCCGCGGUAAUACGGAGGGUGCGAGCGUUAAUCGGAAUUACUGGGCGUAAAGCGUGGGUUUCAAAGCUAACGCAUUAAAUAGACCGCCUGGGGAGUACGGCCGCAAGGUUAAAACUCAAAUGAAUUGACGGGGGCCCGCACAAGCGGUGGAGCAUGUGGUUUAAUUCGAUGCAACGCGAAGAACCUUACCAUCCCUUGACAUCCAGAGAAUCACCUAGAGAUAGAUGAGUGCCUUCGGGAACUCUGAGACAGGUGCUGCAUGGCUGUCGUCAGCUCGUGUUGUGAAAUGUUGGGUUAAGUCCCGCAACGAGCGCAACCCUUAUCCUUACUUGCCAGCGGGUUAUGCCGGGAACUUUAGGGAGACUGCCGGUGAUAAACCGGAGGAAGGUGGGGACGACGUCAAGUCAUCAUGGCCCUUACGGGAUGGGCUACACACGUGCUACAAUGGCAGAUACAAAGGGUUGCUAACCUGCGAGGGUAUGCGAAUCUCAUAAAGUCUGUCGUAGUCCGGAUCGGAGUCUGCAACUCGACUCCGUGAAGUUGGAAUCGCUAGUAAUCGUGGAUCAGAAUGCCACGGUGAAUACGUUCCCGGGCCUUGUACACACCGCCCGUCACACAAUGGGAGUGGGAUGCAAAGGAAGUCAUUAGCUUAACCUUCGGGGAUGGCGAUGACCACGGUGUGGUUCAUGACUGGGGUGAAGUCGUAACAAGGUAGCC